UACAGAGGUCUCAAGCGUUUGUUCGGAUUUAUUGGGCGUAAAGCGCGCGCAGGCGGUCCUUUAAGUCUGAUGUGAAAGCCCACGGCUCAACCGUGGAAGGUCAUUGGAAACUGGAGGACUUGAGUACAGAAGAGGAAAGCGGAAUUCCACGUGUAGCGGUGAAAUGCGUAGAGAUGUGGAGGAACACCAGUGGCGAAGGCGGCUUUCUGGUCUGUAACUGACGCUGGAGGCGCGAAAGCGUGGGGAGCAAACAGG
rnacentral:rRNA from 1 species